CCUUGACAUACUAAGAACUUUCCAGAGAUGGAUUGGUGCCUUCGGGAACUUAGAUACAGGUGCUGCAUGGCUGUCGUCAGCUCGUGUCGUGAGAUGUUGGGUUAAGUCCCGCAACGAGCGCAACCCUUUUCCUUAUUUGCCAGCGGGUCAUGCCGGGAACUUUAAGGAUACUGCCAGUGACAAACUGGAGGAAGGCGGGGACGACGUCAAGUCAUCAUGGCCCUUACGGCCAGGGCUACACACGUGCUACAAUGGUCGGUACAAAGGGUUGCUACCUCGCGAGAGGAUGCUAAUCUCAAAAAGCCGAUCGUAGUCCGAAUCGCAGUCUGCAACUCGACUGCGUGAAGUCGGAAUCGCUAGUAAUCGCGGAUCAGAAUGCCGCGGUGAAUACGUUCCCGGGCCUUGUACACACCGCCCGUCACACCAUGGGAGUUUGUUGCACCAGAAGUAGGUAGUCUAACCGCAAGGAGGACGCUUACCACGGUGUGGCCGAUGACUGGGGUGAAGUCGUAACAAGGUAAGCGUAGAUGA
rnacentral:rRNA from 1 species